rnacentral:rRNA from 1 species
AAACCUGAGAAACCCGAAAGAUCGAAUGGGGAGAUUCAUCGUCAGCGAUGCUUGCUUACGUGUGGUUUGCGAUGCUCGGGCAUUUAUGUCAUGCAGCACGCUGCCGCUGCGGCAUGACAAGCAGCGUCGGGUGUGCACUUCUCCCCUAGUAGGACGUCGCGACCCGUUGGGUGCCGGCCUACGGCCCGGUUGGUCGACUGUCGCGCCGCGAUUACGUCGUGGACGAGGCAGACCACCGGCCGCCCGGCCGGCUGCCCGGCGGUAAUGAUCUCAAAUCGGUAUUGGGCCGCACCAAGUGCGUUCAGGCACGUCGGCAGGGAAGUCUCGCCCGGAUUUACGGACCUAGCGCCGUUGUCGGGUGCUUGGCUCCCGUUCGCCGACGAUGUCCUCGGACUGGCUCUCGCGUCCUCAUGGACAUACCGGUCGGCGACGCUACUGCUUUGGGUACUUU